GACGAACGCUGGCGGCGUGCUUAAAAACAUGCAAGUCGAACGGACUUCUCAUGAAGCUUGCAAUUGAGAAGUUAGUGGCGGACGGGUGAGUAACGCGUGGGCAACCUGCCCCUGAGCCCGGGAUAACAGUUCGAAAGGACUGCUAAGACCGGAUAUACUUGCGGGGAAGCAUUUCUCUGUAAGGAAAGGGAACGCUCAGGGAUGGGCCCGCGUCCCAUUAGCUAGUUGGUGAGGUAACGGCCCACCAAGGCGACGAUGGGUAGCCGGCCUGAGAGGGUGAACGGCCACACUGGGACUGAGACACGGCCCAGACUCCUACGGGAGGCAGCAGUUGGGAAUCUUCGGCAAUGGGCGCAAGCCUGACCGAGCAACGCCGCGUGAGUGAUGAAGGUUUUCGGAUUGUAAAGCUCUGUCUUCCGGGACGAUAAUGACGGUACCGGAGGAGGAAGCCACGGCUAACUACGUG
rnacentral:rRNA from 1 species